GACGAACGCUGGCGGCGUGCUUAACACAUGCAAGUCGAACGGAAAGGCCCCUUUGGGGGUACUCGAGUGGCGAACGGGUGAGUAACACGUGAGUAACCUGCCCUUGACUUCGGGAUAACUUCAGGAAACUGGGGCUAAUACCGGAUAGGAAUCCUUGCUGCAUGGUGGGGGUUGGAAAGCUUCGGCGGUUUUGGAUGGACUCGCGGCUUAUCAGCUUGUUGGUGGGGUAGUGGCUUACCAAGGCUGUGACGGGUAGCCGGCCUGAGAGGGCGACCGGCCACAUUGGGACUGAGAUACGGCCCAGACUCCUACGGGAGGCAGCAGUGGGGAAUAUUGCACAAUGGGCGGAAGCCUGAUGCAGCAACGCCGCGUGCGGGAUGACGGCCUUCGGGUUGUAAACCGCUUUCAGCAGGGGCGAAGCUUGUGGUGACGGUACCUGCAGAAGAAGCACCGGCUAACUACGUG
rnacentral:rRNA from 1 species